GAAGAUCCUGAAUGGUCUGUUAACCAGCCAAACAUUCACAGAAGAGACGUUGCACACACUCUUGUGCGAAACCGAGUGCAUCAUGAACAAUCGGCCGCUGGUGCCGGUUUCGUCGGACCCUCGUGACGAGGUGCCUCUGACUCCGAAUCACAUCCUGCAUUUGAAGUGUGUGACACCGGUAUGUGAUUCUUCAAGUGAAGAUGACCUGGAUGGACCCAAGAGAUGGCGACAAGCUGCUUACCUAGCUGAGCAGUUUUGGCGUUCGUGGAGACGGCUAUACUUGCCUCUCCUGCAGCAGCGAUCUCGCGCUGCCACGAGAAGUCGGACGAACCUGCGGAUCGGUGACGUCGUCGUCAUGGUAGACGAAUCGGUACCACGCGGUGUGUGGCCGCUGGGUCUCGUGAAGGAGACCCUGAUGGGUAAGGACGGGCGUGUGCGCUCUGUGAAGGUCCGCGCUCGAGGAACCACGUUCCUGAGACCUGUCACGAAGGUAGUGAAGAUUCUGGGCGCAGAAGAGCAGUCUUGGUGAAGCGAUGGAGCUGCAGCUACACUGUAUAACACAGCAUGAGUCUAGCAGCACACCGCUAAGUCAUUAACACCGGACACUUAAGAUCAUGACACGCCACACAGGCUCAUGACACAAUCACAAUGAUAGACAUCAGGAACGGUGCAUGUAUAAUGUAUAUAGGAUGCGUUCUACUUCCGUGUGUUGAUGCUGAUCUCAGCGACGCUUGUUUCGGUAGGCUGUGCAGUGUGCCUAUGUGUUGUUAUAUGUAUAGUUAAGAAGUUGGUUUUGAACCUGGAUGGUUCAAAGGGGGCGGGUGUUAGCGCCGCACGGCCCCCAGCAGCGGUGCCGUUGCGACGCCGCUCAGCGGCGGUGCCCUCCGCCUAUGGUAACUACGCUAUGUUGCUAUGGUUACCGGAUUGUUUUGUUUUGUUUACUUUCUUUCGGCUCGAUUUUGACAAUGUCUGGAUAGAAUCUGAAUAAUUACGAAAGAUAAAGACGAAAGAUGUGAUUGAUGACGUGCAAAAAUGUUGUUUGAGUGAAAAGGAAGAAUUUUGGCUAUGAAUUUAAGCAUGAACCUUGUUCGUUACGCCGGAGAGUGACAAUUUGUCGUUACGGCUCGGCUCAGGCUCGGCUCGGCUCCUGGCUCCUGGCUCCUGUUGUACGAGGCUCUGUGGUAUCGGCUCAGGCCGUUAGCGCUGGAAGAAGGAGGAGGAAUGGAGGAGAAAAUAUAGAGGACUGAGAGCCCGUGAA